UUAAAAUCUAAAAGAUAUCUAUAACAGAUGCAUUUUCCUCAAUCCUAUAAUGAUAUAUACACACAAUACAUAACCAUUCACUAGUAUCAAUUUGAAAGAAAAAAGAUUCAUUAAUCUUAACAUUCAAAACAAUACCAAAUAAAUCAACCCCUCAUGUUUCAAUUUUCAGUGAAAUUUCAUUGAGAAAAUACUAUCCACCAGUCAUCACCACACAACCAUCAUCUUCAUCGAACCGGAAACACCCCUCUGACAAACCAUCGUCGCACCUCUAGCUUCGGCCAUCUUUGGCCUAAUCUCCACUCCCUCCAACAAAGUGUUAUCAAAGGAGCUCACCACGUCACAAAUGGCGAAUGGCGAGGCAUACUAUGUGACAUCCGAAAGGCAAUAUCUAUGCGAUAAAGGCAAUAUGGCGAGGCGACAAUGGCAUCGCCUUUUUAAUUUUUUUUUUAAAAAUAGGUUAUUAGGGAUGAAAGAUAAUUUUAGGGCUUAUUUUCUCAUUUUGGUUCUACCAUCUUACUUGCUUAGCGACUGCUACUGCGACCUUAAGGCAAGUCACAAGUGCGACUUCGACUCCGGCGACCGGCGGCGGCUACUCCAACUACUUCGGUUUUGCUGUUUUGGCGGUGGGAGCUACAUGGAUAUUUCGCUCUAUUCGAGGAUUGGUUUUCGAGCUUCUUUGCUGUUGCAUUUUUCAGCAAUUUCUGGUAUACCAAGUGCAGAAAAUACUAUUGCAGGGUUACUGUGUUUUCAGCCAGAAGCUGAAGCAUAUUGUUCGCUUACCGUUUGCAACAAUUGCAUAUGGCAGGAACAAAAAAGAAAGAAGAAGAUAGUGGACCCUGUCCCAGUUGGUCUCGUCUAUGGAUUUUCGUGCAAGUUGAUCUGGACGCCAUGGUUAAUCUUGCGGAUAAUCAUGCUGGCUGAAGUAGUCUGUGAUGCUUCUUUCAUGACUCUAUAUUGGUUGUGUUCAUCAAUACAAUUCAUUUGAUUCCCAGCCCGAUGUUUUGAAGUAUCUUUAUUCUCCACUUCAACCAUCAACUUCUUUGAAAGGGCUGAGGUACCACAUUAGAUUUACUCUGUUGAAUUUGCAGAAAAUUUUGACCAGUAGUUUAGUCACUAUAUGCCGUGAAAAACUAGUUAGACACCAAAUGCUCCAUUAAUGAAUGGCUCUGCCUGGAGUCCCUGCAAAAUAAAGAGCUUUGCAGACACAUUUUCUUUUUGCACAUUUUUUGCGAUAUUUUUGGUUCUCAAAGCACAUUACUCUUUUUGAGUUUAUUAAGUAGGGAAGCAAGAAUAUGCAUAUUGAAAGGAAACAAAUAGGAAGUAACAUUUGAUAUUGAGAUAUAGCUACCCUAUGCAAGUAACAUUCGUGGAAUAAAAGGUUGAAAGUCAUAUUGUCUUCUGAGAUGGUUACCUCUUUGGUUGUUAGAGAAGUGGCAGGGUUUGGUGGAAAAAGUGAUGCUAAAGAAUAAUCAAAUAUCCUUGUGUUUCUCAAACAACAGUUUGAACUUGAAGGUGUGCAGUUAUGCUCUAGGUGAUGAGAUUCAAUCUUCUCUAUGUUCGUUGGAGUAAGCAUUUCUGAGAACAAAUGCAAACAAAGAUCUUAAAAGUUGGUUACAAGCUGCCUCUGGGUGAUACGUGAUUUUCAGAUGUUCACUUGGGAGCCUUUUGUUAUAUAGGUAUCAAGAUGGUGGUCGACUAUCUGAUCAGCUCAUGGCCUUGUUGCAAUAUCAGCAAGAAAAUAUACACUUUCUGAGUGAGGAGAUUCUUGGAUUACAGGAAUCCUUGAGCAAAUAAAGGUCUAAUGAUGGGAGUGCACCACAGGUUGAUCUGGCCCACUUACUGACAGCUCGAGACCAAGAAUUGCGUACACUUUCAGCUGAGGUAUUAUUGGUGGCCUGUGGUCUUUUGGACCUAUCUCUUUCCUUACAGAAUUAAGUGCCCGUAGGCAGAGGCUCCGUCCCUGUUGGGUCGAGGGUUCAUCCCAAAACUCCUUUGGCGGAAAAUUAGACUGUUUAUACAUGAUUAAAAUUAUUUUUUAUGUAUGUAUAUUAUACAUUAAACCCACUUUGGCUUCUUCGUCUGUUUAUUUCUUAAUAUUUUGGACCCCUUAAUGAAAAUCCUGGCUGUGCCAAUGCUAGUAGAGAUGGAAGUACUUUUAUCCCGUGCAGAACUAACAUGUAAACCAAACAGACUUGUUUGCUCUCUGAGUAAGAAAAUGAACUUGUACAUCCAAGUCUAAUUUCCGCAAA